rnacentral:lncRNA from 10 species
ACACAAAAUGGCGACACGUGGUUAGCAUUCGUCGCCAACGAGAAAUUGGGGUCGGCCCGAAAGCUCUAGAAUGCACCCCUCUUCCUCCCCGGGGCCUUCCACCUCCGCGAGUUUUAUGACUUAAAAAAGCCCACAGGCUGGUCUGAAGGUCGGAGGCCUAAUUUUAACGCGUUUUCCUCCCUUUAAUUUGAAACGGGAACGCGAAUGACUGUAAAAUAGGAAGACAAACAUAAAGAUGAAGUGCUUAAUUCAAGGUCACACAAUGUCGGGGAUGGACCUCCAGAUUUCCUUACUGGUGAGACGUGGUCUUGUAACACAGUGGUUAAGAAUGUGACUUUGGAGCCAGCCUGCUAGGGGCUGAAUUCUGACUCAGCCAUUUACUAACUGUGUGACCUUAGGUGGAGUCUCACUCUGUAGCCCAAGCUGGAGUGGCGUGAUCUCGACUCACUGCAACCUCCGCCUCCUGGGAUCAAGUGAUUCUCGUGCCUCAGCCUCCUGAGUAGCCGGGACUACAGGGGACCAGAUGUGCAGAGGUAAUGAAUACCAGGGAAUCAGGAAACCACUGGAUCAGUUCUUUGAGCCACAGAACAACACUCAUCCCAGCAGCUGGGAAGCUAUCUGCAAAAGUCCAUCUGCAGAAAGGGCUUCCUGGUCUUGCGUGUGGCUGGGCCAUUUCUCUGGAUGCAGGUUUUUCAUUAUACAGUCUUCUCAAAGAACCACCUGCUCUCAACACCUUCUCGGUGACUCCAUUUCCCCUCCUC